GAGUUUGAUCCUGGCUCAGGAUGAACGCUGGCGGAGUGCCUAAUACAUGCAAGUCGAGCGAGAAGUUUACUUCUAGCGGCGAACGGGUGAGUAACACGUAUUCAACCUGCCCAUCAGUCUGGGAUAACAUCGAGAAAUCGGUGCUAAUACCGGAUAGCAGAUACUUACAUAAGUAUAUAUCUCUAAAGGAGCGUUUGCUUCGCUGAUGAACGGGGAUGCGCAGCAUUAGGUAGUUGGUGGGAUAACAGCCCACCAAGCCAACGAUGCUUAGCCGGCCUGAGAGGGUGAUCGGCCACACUGGAACUGAGACACGGUCCAGACUCCUACGGGAGGCAGCAGUAGGGAAUUUUCGACAAUGGGCGCAAGCCUGAUCGAGCAACACCGCGUGAGGGAUGAAGGAUUUCGGUCUGUAAACCUCUGUUAUAAGGGAAGAAAAAGCAGGAUAGGAAAUGAUUCUGCCCUGACGGUACCUUAUCAGAAAGCGACGGCUAACUUCGUGCCAGCAGCCGCGGUAAUACGAAGGUCGCAAGCGUUAUCCGGAUUUACUGGGCGUAAAGCGUCCGCAGCUGGUUCACCCAGUCUGAUGUUAAAGGCAGAGGCUCAACCUCUGUGUGCAUUGGAUACUAGUGGGCUAGAGUUAUGGAGGGGCAAGUGGAAUUCCUAGUGUAUCGGUGGAAUGAGUAGAUAUUAGGAGGAACACCAGUGGCGAAGGCGACUUGCUGGCCAUAUACUGACAGUCAUGGACGAAAGCGUGGGGAGCAAACGGGAUUAGAUACCCCGGUAGUCCACGCCGUAAACGCUGAGUACUAGGUGUUGGGCAUAAGCUCAGUGCCGCAGCUAACGCAUUAAGUACUCCGCCUGGGUAGUACGCACGCAAGUGUAAAACUCAAAGGAAUUGACGG
rnacentral:rRNA from 1 species